AUCUCCCACUGGAUAACCAGGUAAGGCCCGUGGCAGACCACCACGUUGAUAGGCCGGAUGUGUAAGCACGGCGACGUGUUCAGCAGACCGGUACUAAUCGGCCGAGGGCUUGGGCUC
rnacentral:rRNA from 1 species